rnacentral:rRNA from 1 species
CCCUUAGAUGUUCUGGGCCGCACGCGUGCUACACUGAGUGGAUCAGCGGGUUAGGUAACACGAAAGUGUAUCCUAAUCUUCAAAUCCGCUCGUGAUGGGGAUUGAUGGUUGCAAUUUUUUAUCAUGAACGAGGAAUACCUUGUAGGCGCGUGUCAUCAUCACGCGCCGAAUACGUCCCUGCCCUUUGUACACACCGCCCGUCGCUCCUACCGAUGGGUGAUCCGGUGAAUGAUUCGGACUCGGUUGCCUCUAGCCACUAGUGGCGCUCGAGAAAGUUUUGUGAACCUUAUCACUUGGAGGAAGGAGAAGUCGUAACA